rnacentral:rRNA from 1 species
UACGUAGGGGGCAAGCGUUGUCCGGAUUUACUGGGCGUAAAGAGCGUGUAGGCGGCCAAGCAGGUCCGUUGUGAAAACUGGAGGCUUAACCUCCAGACGUCGACGGAAACCGCGUGGCUAGAGUCCGGAAGAGGAGAGUGGAAUUCCUGGUGUAGCGGUGAAAUGCGCAGAUAUCAGGAAGAACACCUAUGGCGAAGGCAGCUCGCUGGGACGGUACUGACGCUGAGACGCGAAAGCGUGGGGAGCGAGCAGG